rnacentral:rRNA from 1 species
AAACUGGGAUUAGAUACCCCACUAUGCUUAGUCGUAAACUUAAAUAAUCCUAAAACAAGAUUAUUCGCCAGAGUACUAUCGGCAACAGCCCAAAACUCAAAGGACUUGGCGGUGCUUCAUAUCCUUCUAGAGGAGCCUGUUCUGUAAACGAUAAACCACGAUUAACCUCACCAAUCCUUGCUACUUCAGUCUAUAUACCGCCAUCUUCAGCAAACCCUAAAAAAGGAACGAAAGUAAGCACAACUACUGCACGUAAAAACGUUAGGUCAAGGUGUAACCUAUGGAUUGGGAAGAAAUGGGCUACAUUUUCUAUAAUAAGAACAUCCCUUAAACUUACACGAAAGUUUUUAUGAAACCUAAAAACUAAAGGAGGAUUUAGCAGUAAAUUAAGAAUAGAAUGCUUAAUUGAAUAAGGCCAUGAAGCACGCACACACCGCCCGUCACCCUC